CAUUUGCAUCCCAGAAUGCAUUGUAGAUACGAGAAUUAUUACCAGGGUUAUCUGUUUGAAUAAUAAUAUUUAAACUUUUUUUCUUUGUCAGGAGAUUUUACCCAGUGAGAACAUGUUUAGGACACUUUUCUACAGUGGAAGAAAAGCUUCUGUCUGCAGGUCCAAAGGCACCGUCCUGAGUUGGAAAAAGAUGAAUCAGACCCAGUCCCUCCCUGGAGUUGCUCAGAGGUCUGGAGGAGAAAGGCAUAGAG
rnacentral:lncRNA from 1 species